UACGUAGGGGGCAAGCGUUGUCCGGAAUUAUUGGGCGUAAAGAGCGUGUAGGCGGUCCGGUAAGUCAGCUGUGAAAGUCAAGGGCUCAACCCUUGAAUGCCGGUUGAUACUGUCGGGCUAGAGUCCGGAAGAGGCGAGUGGAAUUCCCGGUGUAGCGGUGAAAUGCGCAGAUAUCGGGAAGGAACACCAAUGGCGAAGGCAGCUCGCUGGGACGGUACUGACGCUGAGACGCGAAAGCGUGGGGAGCAAACAGGG
rnacentral:rRNA from 1 species